rnacentral:tRNA from 1 species
UGUGAUGUGCCUGAUUAAAGGAUUAUUUUGAUAGAAUAGGUCAUGUGCCCCCCGCCACCAUCACAU